rnacentral:rRNA from 1 species
UACGAAGGGGGCUAGCGUUGCUCGGAAUCACUGGGCGUAAAGCGCACGUAGGCGGAUUGUUAAGUCAGGUGUGAAAUCCUGGAGCUCAACUCCAGAACUGCCUUUGAUACUGGCGAUCUCGAGUCCGGGAGAGGUGAGUGGAACUGCGAGUGUAGAGGUGAAAUUCGUAGAUAUUCGCAAGAACACCAGUGGCGAAGGCGGCUCACUGGCCCGGUACUGACGCUGAGGUGCGAAAGCGUGGGGAGCAAACAGG